AAAAAAGUAUAAAUUAUUAGAACUUCAGGAAAUUGUAGUAUAUCAGAUUAGAUGGGCCGAAUGGUUCUUAUCUGCCGUCACAUUCUAUGUUUCUAUGUGCCUUAGCUGAUCUAAAUAAAUAGAUUGUAUGCUCUUUCCUUAGAGGAGGUAAACUAUGUACUAUAACUGGAGAAAAUCAGGCCAAUUCUUUGUUCAUCUGGCUCUGUAUUUUUAUAAUUAAUGCAGAAUGUUCAAGAAUUCUUUGCAAGUGCAAGUUAUAAUGUAACCACCUUCC